rnacentral:ncRNA from 2 species
ACAUACAGCUGGGGGAGCCUUCGGGCUGAGAGUGAACUUAUCGUUCAGACCCUUUGAACCUGACGCGGUUUAUACCGCCGGAGGAAGGCUGAGUACUUAACUC